UAGCAAGUCAUAUAAUUAAGAGGUAAGUUUACGGUUUAUCGUAACUUUAAAAUGUGUUGGGAUUCAGCAAUUCUCGAUAAAACAAACAUAAGAAGGUGGGAAACUUUAACUUUAACCUCAUGUCAAAUUAAGGACGUGUUUGGUUCGUUUUUUUUUCACCCUAGAAUUCGAAUUGGAACGGAUGAAUCCGUUUGUAGGUGUUUGGUACGUGGGAGUCCCAUUCUGAUUCCGAUUCCCGAGUGGAAUGAGAAUCCUCCAAUCACCUUAUUUUUCAAUCCGGCCUAGAAGGUCGGAUUGAAAGUUGAAUCCGGACGGAAUGGAUUUUUAUUCGGAUUAAAUUUAUUUUUCCAACUUUUUUAAUUAAAAUAUGAGUUAAAAUUUAAAAAUUAAAUAUAUAAUUUUAAAUUUUAAUUUGAACUUAAAUUAAAAUUUUAAAUUUAAUCAAGUAUUUCGAAUCUAACUUAUGAAUUUGAAUUU
rnacentral:lncRNA from 1 species